UGGAAGGGCAGGCAGCCUCACCCAAGGGUGGUGACAACCCAGACAUCACGCAAACCUCUCUCUCUCUGUCCCAGACUUGUUAGGCAAUAGGUUAGCUCUGAGAGGAACUGACCAAUGACACCCCAAAAGGAAGAUAUGAAGAACAAUAGGAGAUAGUGGUAGACUCAAGCCGGGUCAGCUCAAACUGGCUUCAGGGACUUUCUCAUCAGGAGAGCAGGUCACAUUACAGUUGCCUAUAGCCACGAUGCUGUUGUCUUUCCUGAUGGUCCAGGGACUGAAGAAUCUGUUCCUUCCUCCAAGGCCCCUGCCAAGCUCUAUAAGGCGGCCAUCUUUCCCAGUGAGGCUGCUCCUUGGACCUGAAGGCCUGCUCUCUUGCGUCUGGGCCCCGUUUUGGAAUAAUUCUGAAGGGUAAGCUCAGGACGCACCGGAUUCAGAGAUGUCGAAUGCACAGUUAAAAACAAAUAAACAAACAAACAAACACGAAACAAACCCACCACAGUAAGCCAGAGCAGUGAGAGAGAAAAGUGGCUGUAAAAACUUUUCGGAAUACUUUGGGAACCGGCUAAUUUAGAGAUUAUGCUAAAAAUCUCGAACACCUUCAAUUAAAUUGCAUUUUUAAGGGCUGAGAGGUCCGAAGAGGCACAGAGAUCUCAGUUCUGGGAAUGAGUCACUCUUCUCAACUAGCAUUUACAUUUCCACCUCAAUCCAUCCGGGCUUAAGCAUCAGGAGGGUGGAUGCUUCUAUGCAAUCGAUCUGGUAGGCCUGCCAGGUCUAGAAUCUGCAUUUGGAUCUUUCUCACCUUUAGAAGACAGGACUCAAGAUGCCUGGAGCUCCUUCACAUUUAUCAGGUCGUAACUUGAUGUGAGACAUUGGAAUGAAAAAUGUGAGUGGCCAGACACCAGGACUUAAGAAUGUUUGUGCUGCAAAAACAUCACCGAAACGAGUGAACUUUGCAACAACCCAUUGUCUCAAGAUUUUCAAGAUUCCCCUUAUUCAAAAUCUUCCCCUCUUCCAACCAUAUAAAGGAUAAAUACAUACGUACAUAUAACCUUUAUAGAUUUUACAUUUAC
rnacentral:lncRNA from 1 species